AAUUGUAGAGUACAGAUUCAAAUGAAGAAAAAAUAUGUCUGUCCCCAGCAUUAUGGAGCUUAUUGUAUAUACCAUGCAGUAUGCCCUUUUAGGGUGGCACAGUGGUGCAGUGGGUAGCACUGUCACCUCACUGCAAGAAGGUCAUGGUUUCGGCUUGGCCUGAGCAUUUCUUGUCCUGAGCAUUUCUGUGUGGAGUUUCCUGUUCUCCCCCCGAACUUUCACACAUCUUAACCACAACAGGAACUCAUAAAAACAUGAGUGCAGUUUCAGGAAGUCAGCUCUGAUCUUGCGCAUAUAUUUUUGUAAAUGUAUAAUGUAAGCCCACACAUUGCACAAUGACUGCCUGCUCAAAACAGAUCAGUUUCACUUGGUGUUCCAGUAAAUGGAAUACAUAACAGUAUAUAAAACAUGGCAUGUAUAUAAUGUUAAAUUUCCAAGAGUACUUUUCUGUUUUAUUUUUAAAAUAAAAAGUAUUUCGCUAAAUGAAGGUUUAUGAUACAGCUAUGCACCUGAAGAGAAAAGUAAGAUCAUUUUACAAGAAUGCAAAAGGUUGUUUUUAUGUGGAUCUAUAAUUUCUUGUUCAUAACAUAAUGCAAUAUCUGAUCUACUAAACUGUGAAGGAAAAUGGUAAAUAUUAUCUUUCAGAUCGAACUUAUCUUUCAGAUCUAUCCAUGGAAACUGCCACGCCCCCACUGCCAUUUAUAUAUCUGGAUGGGAACAAAGGGGUCACGGACAGCCUGGUUGCGAUUGGCCCAGCUCUCGGUGUGUUGGUGUGUUUAUUUCUGGCUGCUCUUGCUGUCCAACUCAAAAGAUCAGUUUCAAAUCCUCUUGCCUUAAAACCAGCAGGUUUGUCUGUCCCUGUAGACACUGUACAGGGGGAAGAGGACCCUGAACAUGUGUACGAUGAGUACGGUGAGAUGACCGUAUACAGUACUGUUGGCUUGCCCGUGGAGAACUCUGAGGGGCUAUACUGCACGGUGCAGUUCUCUGACCUUCCACCGGGGGCAGAUGAGAAUGGCCUGUACUGGUGAUGCCCCACUGAACGAAGAACACCUUCUGGAAGAGAAGCUUACUCUUGGGCUUAACUGCAGUCCUGCAGGCUGUUGUGUAUGUUAGUUUUUGGUGUGUUUCAGCAAUAAAAGCUAGUUAAGACAUCGAUUGGCUAAAAGGUCCACACACCUGGUUUCCAAUACCUAAAUUGAGUGUUGAAGGAAAGGUCUGUGUGUGGGCGGUCUGUGGCAAUGCCACAGUGUGGGCUUGGUGUGUGUGCUGUUUUUUGUUUUUCUAACCCAUUAUUCUGGUUUAACUUUUCAUUUUCUAAGAAGCUGCACUACACCAGUGUUGGCUCAGUCCAGUAUCAGACAGUAAAACGAUUUCACCAAGGACACACACACAGUCUGCAGCUGAGGCUCAUGACUUGGCAAAAAUGUUUGAUCAAAUAAAUUGAGAAAUAAUUAAAAGCCGAAGUUGGCACAAAACUCCAUAAUGGAAUAUCCCCAGCUUAGUAGGUGCCCCAGCUGAUAUACCACAGACAUACUGUCAGGCUUGGAACGUUUUCACAGACACUGAUGAUGGAAGCUGUGGAAAAACUGCACUCUAAGGUUGUUUCCACGGAGAUGCUUCAAUACGCCGUUGAGAGAUGGCAUGAAAAAGCUUUAAACUGCUGAGUGUUAAUCAUUCUACAACAUUUUAGUGCAUUCCAACGAAUAAGGAUGAAAUUAUCAAGAUUGUAAAAUAUAUUUUUUUAAACGAACACGAUCACUUAUUUGUAUCUGAAGUGGUUCAGUGUUUGAUGAAGCCAAACGAACAGGCCCAGUAGGUAGGAGUUUAAAUCAGAAGUGUGACCCAAAAAUGGGCUUGGUGCUGCAGCUAUGCCAGCACUUAAUAACACUGAUUGGUAAAGUUCCCAUCACAGUCAGGUAGGGUGCUUUCAGCAGUAGGGCAUAGGCUCUACUGAUUCUCCCAUUAUUGUUAAUGAUCUGGGCAACUAAAAAUGGACGAAUACAGAUACAGCAUAAAAAAGC